rnacentral:tRNA from 1 species
GAGCUCGUGGCUCAAUGGUUAGAGCGUUGGACUUCAGAUCAACAGGUCGCGGGUUCG